rnacentral:lncRNA from 1 species
AUCCUCCUCAACCUCUCACUAUGUGGAUGCUAUAAAGUAACUUUAGUUCUUUGUUUUUCUCCAUAGUAAAAACAAAUUUGUCUCUAUCUUAGGUGAGUACAGAGCUAAGGAAAUAAUACCCAAAUGACAACAGUUUGGCCAAAUCUUCAGGUUCUAUUUCACAAAUGACUCCAUCUAGAAGGAUUUUAGUAUUUCCUCUGGUGCUUGUUACUUUUUUUCCCCCCAUAAAAUGUAUGACCCAAACUUAUUCCUUUUUAAAAGCUGAACUUAUAGCUUU